rnacentral:rRNA from 1 species
UCGAGAAUUUUUCUCAAUGGGCGCAAGCCUGAAGGAGCGACGCCGCGUGGGGGAUGAAGGGCUUCGGCCCGUAAACCCCUGUCAUUUGCGAACAAGUGUCAUGGUUGAACAUUCCAUGGCUUGAUUGUAGCGAAAGAGGAAGGGACGGCUAACUCUGUGCCAGCAGCCGCGGUAAUACAGAGGUCCCAAGCGUUGUUCGGAUUCACUGGGCGUAAAGGGUGCGCAGGUGGCAUGACAAGUUCGAUGUGAAAGCCCCGGGCUUAACCCGGGAAUGGCAUUGAAUACUGCCGUGCUGGAGGAUUGGAGGGGGGACUGGAAUUCUUGGUGUAGCAGUGAAAUGCGUAGAUAUCAAGAGGAACACCAGUGGCGAAGGCGAGUCCCUGGACAAUACCUGACACUGAGGCACGAAAGCCGGGGGAGCAAACAG